GGUCGUGGGUGCCUGCCUGCCGUACGAACGUGGGCCUCCAUGUGGGUGUUUGUGCAUUCGUGUGUGCGUGUGUGUGUGAGGGAGCCAGCCAGCCAGUUCAGUAACAGAGACGCAGAGAAGGCACGGACGGACUCGCGCCGAAGAGAGAGAGAGAGGAAGAAGCGGCGAAGCGACCAAGUCGCAGUGGGUCCUCUUGUGUGUGUGUGCAAUCUAUGAGCGGGUUAUCCACGCCGCAAUCAACUCAGUAGUAGCAGAUGUCGCGUACCCCUGCUUGUUCACCAUCUAACCGGAAUUUGUGCAGGUGCCAUUUACUGAAAUUAUACCUACACCUCUAUAAAUCUCUGUUUUGAUCUGUGACACCCUGUUAUCAACAAGAUUCCCUGACGGAUUAAAUUAAAACUGUUUUACGUGAGAACAAAACGGACCCGUGUGGAUACAUACCCCGAUAACGCUAACAAUGGACUUUCAAUACGAUGCGACGAGGAAACGUUUCAAAUGACAGCUCCACUUGAACCUACAACCCGUAGAGUUUUGAUUCACGAGGCGGGUUUGAGUUUGAAGUGAAAGAUUCAGUUUUGCUUUUGUGAGUGUGUGUGUGUAUGUGUUUGCCUUGAAGGAUAUCAAGUACCAGUUUCAUUUCACGACACACAAUGUCUUUGGAAAGUUUACCUGCCCCCUCGCUUACCUGGAAUGUUAGAUCUAUCUUUCUGGCUUUGAUCUACAUCAGCACUUUACUGACAGGUGUGUUUAGCCGCAGCCAGGGCAAGCAACCUCUGGACCUGAACCAUCUCCCACGUUUUGUAUCCAGCAGUAACAACUACAGCUACCGGGUGGGGGAGGUGGCGGUGUUGAGGUGCACUGUCGAGAACCUGGGAAGAAAA
rnacentral:lncRNA from 1 species